rnacentral:rRNA from 1 species
AUUGAACGCUAGCGGGAUGCUUUACACAUGCAAGUCGAACGAGUGGCGGACGGGUGAGUAAUAUAUCGGAACGUGCCCAGUCGCGGGGGAUAACUACUCGAAAGAGUGUCUAAUACCCCAUACUAUUGUCGCGGCCCAUCGCGGAUUAGCUAGUUGGUGGGGUAACGGCUAACCAAGGCAACGAUCCGUAGCUGGGUUGGGAGGACGACCGGCCACACUGGGACUGAGAAACGGCCCAGAUGCCUACGGGAGGAAGCAGUGGGGAAUUUUGGACAAUGGGGGAAACCCUGAUCCAGCCAUCCCGCGUGUAUGAGAAGGCCUUCGGGUUGUAAAGUACUUUUGGCAGAGAGGCGGUAUCGGCAGAAUAAGCACCGGCUAACUACGUGCCAGCAGCCGCGGUAAUAC